GGAAAUAGGUGGGGAAAAUAAACAUGGAGGAGGGAAAUUUUAUUUCCUCGAAAAAAACCCAAGGAAAUUGAAGUUAAAGGAGGGAAAAAUUUAUUGGGCUCCCCCCUCACUCCAGUGCACUAACACGACCGGUAGCUCCCCUCCCUCUUUCGUCUUCCACUUCCUCUUCUAUCUUUCGUCUUCCUCUUCCUCUUUCUCUUCAUUCUUCCUCUUCCUCUCCCCCCUUCCAUGGUCUCCCAAGGCAGAUCGAAUGGUGGUUCUACUUCUAAUCGUCCUCCACCGAUAGGUAAUAGUAACCCAUUGCCGCAAAGGAAUAAUAUGCAGCGAUUUCGGUCACCGAAUCUACAAAAAAAAAAAAAAAAUCCUCUUCCAAGUUCUUAAAAGCAUCGACAAACUUCAGAUUCUAAAAACGAAUUUCAAAAUGUUCAGAAUCUUGCAUCGAAGCCUUCAACGUUUGGUUUUUGUCAAAAUCUUCCACCAAACACCUUAGAUCUAAGACAUUUGACUUUUAAUCAACUUUCACUCGAGGACACGGAAGCAAAAGAAGCUUUUAUUGAGUAAAUUAAGAGUGCUCGGAUAUGAAGAUUAUUAAUCCUUGUAGCAUGUUCAUUCAUUGUUGGUGUCUCCUGCAAUUUCAAUAUAAGUGAGAUAAAAUAUUCAGUUUGUGCUUUCCAAAAUAUCUUCUGUGUAUCAAGUUUCAUUAUCUUCCAAUGACCCAGAUUGUUCUUCCAUAGAUUCCACUCCUCAGUUUCCUUUUACCAAAGAACAGUGUCAACAAAUUCUUUCUUUCUUUCCUACAAUCCUCUUCACAAACACCUCAACCUAUAACCACGAAUGCUAUGAACAACUCAUCUUAUGUUUCAAACUCUUUAAGUUUAUCAGGAUUUACACUCAUGGAAGACGAUUGGAGUGGCUAAGCAAGUAGUUGGACUAUAUCUGUUGAAAGCAUCUGUUAUGAAUUCUAGUGUAUUUUCUGCUGUAAAUCUCACUUCUGCUGUAAAUCUUCCUUCUUUUGAUCCUUGGCAUUUUAGGCUAGGCCAUUGUUCUCUCAAUAAGAUUCAAACACUAUAGAAGUUGUUGCCUGAUAUACAUACUCUUUCAAAUUUCAAUUGUAAUAUCUGUCCAUUGGCAAAACAUAAAAGGUUGCCAUUCAAUACUAGUCAUUCCAUUAGAAAUAAAAUUUUUGAUUUGAUACACUGUGA